rnacentral:rRNA from 1 species
AAGAGACAGCAGCCGCCGCGGUAAUACGAAGGGGGCUAGCGUUGCUCGGAAUCACUGGGCGUAAAGGGUGCGUAGGCGGGUCUUUAAGUCAGGGGUGAAAUCCUGGAGCUCAACUCCAGAACUGCCUUUGAUACUGAAGAUCUUGAGUUCGGGAGAGGUGAGUGGAACUGCGAGUGUAGAGGUGAAAUUCGUAGAUAUUCGCAAGGACACCAGUGGCGAAGGCGGCUCACUGGCCCGAUACUGACGCUGAGGCACGAAAGCGUGGGGAGCAAACAGGAUUAGAUACCCCUGUAGUCCCUGUCUCUUAUAC